UGACUAUAUCACAUUAAAACACCAGUUCUCAUCUGACCACCAAAGUUAAGAAACAUUGAGCCUUGUCAGUACACAAAUGAGUGACCGCUGGAGAAUACAAGGAGCUGCAAG